rnacentral:rRNA from 1 species
UACGUAGGGGGCUAGCGUUAUCCGGAAUUACUGGGCGUGAAGGGUGCGUAGGUGGUUUCUUAAGUCAGAGGUGAAAGGCUACGGCUCAACCGUAGUAAGCCUUUGAAACUGGGGAACUUGAGUGCAGGAGAGGAGAGUGGAAUUCCUAGUGUAGCGGUGAAAUGCGUAGAUAUUAGGAGGAACACCAGUGGCGAAAGCGGCUCUCUGGUCUGUAACUGACGCUGAGGUUCGAAAGCGUGGGUAGCAAACAGG